CAAUCGAACCCGGAGAUAGCUGGUUCUCCCCGAAAUAGCUUUAGGGCUAGCGUCGCAGCGAGAGAGCCGUGAAGGUAGAGCACUGAAUAUGCGAUGGCCGCAUCCCGCGGUACUGAGCAUAAUCAAACUCCGAAUGUCACGGUGUCAUCUGCGGCAGUCAGACGGCGAGUGAUAAGGUCCGUCGUCAAGAGGGAAACAGCCCAGACCAUCAGCUAAGGUCCCAAAGUGCAUGCUAAGUGGAAAAGGAAGUGGAGACGUGCAGACAACUAGGAGGUUGGCUCAGAAGCAGCCAUCCUUCAAAGAGUGCGUAACAGCUCACUAGUCGAAUGACUCUGCGCCGAUAAUUUACCGGGGCUAAGCAUGACACCGAAGCUAUGGACAGGAAUGUGGUAGGGGAGCAUUGCAUGCAGCGGAGAAGCAUGACCGUAAGGGCAUGUGGAGCGCAUGGAAGAGAGAAUGCCGGCGUGAGUAGCGGCACGUGGGUGAGAAUCCCACGCACCGAUGGCCCAAGGUCUCCAGAGGAAGGCUCGUCCUCUCUGGGAUAGUCGGGACCUAAGGCGAGGCCGAAAGGCGUAGCCGAUGGACGACGGGUGGAUAUUCCCGUACCCGAUGUGUGGCGAUGGAGUGACGGAGAAGGCUCAGGCAACCAGCUGCUGGAAUAGCUGGGGCAAGCGAGAUACCUGCGCACCAGGGAAAUCCGGUGCGCAUAAGGGGAAGGCGCGAAGCAUACGGAAAGCUGCGGCAAGUACGGAAUAGCUGAGAGCAGGCUUCCAGGAAAAGCUUCUAGCACAACACGCAUCGGCCCGUACCGAAAAUGGACACACAUGGGCAAGGAGAGAAUCCUGAGGUGAGCGAGAGAACUAUAGCUAAGGAACUCUGCAAAAUGACCCCGUAACCUAGGGAGAAGGGGUGCUCCAGAAAUGGAGCCGCAGUAAAACGGCCCAAGCGACUGUUUACCAAAAACACAGCUCUCUGCGAAGGCGCAAGCCGAAGUAUAGGGGGUGACGCCUGCCCGGUGCUGGAAGGUCAAGGGGAGCUGUCAGCGCAAGCGAAGCAGCGAGCCGAAGCCCCAGUAAACGGCGGCCGUAACUAUAACGGUCCUAAGGUAGCGAAAUUCCUUGUCGGGCAAGUUCCGACCCGCACGAAAGGCGUAACGAUUUGGGCGCUGUCUCAGCUGUAGACUCGGUGAAGUCUUAGUACCUGUGAAGAUGCAGGUUGCCCGCGACUAGACGGAAAGACCCCAUGGAGCUUCACUGCAGGUUGACAUUGGGCUUGGAUGCAUGAUGUACAGGAUAGGUGGGAGGCUGAGAGCCGUGCGCGCCAGCGUACGGGGAGCCGCUGUUGGGAUACCACCCUUCAUGCAUCUAGGUCCUAACCGGAGGCAACGGGCCACGGGACAGUGUCAGUCGGGCAGUUUGACUGGGGCGGUCGCCUCCCAAAGAGUAACGGAGGCGCCCAAAGAUACCCUCAGCAUGGAUGGAAACCAUGCAUAGAGUGCAAAGGCAUAAGGGUGUCUGACUGCGAGACAUACAGGUCGAGCAGGGACGAAAGUCGGGCUUAGUGAUCCGGCGGAUCCGAAUGGAAGGGCCGUCGCUCAACGGAUAAAAGCUACCCUGGGGAUAACAGGCUGAUCUCCCCCAAGAGUUCACAUCGACGGGGAGGUUUGGCACCUCGAUGUCGGCUCAUCGCAUCCUGGAGCUGAAGUCGGUUCCAAGGGUUGGGCUGUUCGCCCAUUAAAGCGGUACGCGAGCUGGGUUCAGAACGUCGUGAGACAGUUCGGUCCCUAUCUGUCGUGGGCGCAGGAGGUUUGAGGAGAGCUGCCCCUAGUACGAGAGGACCGGGGUGGACGGACCGAUGGUGCACCAGUUGUCACGCCAGUGGCACAGCUGGGCAGCCAAGUCCGGACGGGAUAAGCGCUGAAGGCAUCUAAGCGUGAAGCCCCCUCCAAGAUGAGACCUCCCAUUGGCGACAAGUAAGGCCCCUCGAAGACGACGAGGUUGAUAGGCCGCGAGUGCAAGCGCAGCGAUGUGCUUAGCGGGGCGGUACUAAUAGGCCGAGGACUUGGCCAA
rnacentral:rRNA from 1 species